rnacentral:rRNA from 1 species
GGACUACAAGGGUAUCUAAUCCUGUUUGCUCCCCACGCUUUCGCACCUCAGCGUCAGUAUUGGCCCAGGUCGCCGCCUUCGCCACUGGUGUUCCUCCCGAUAUCUACGAAUUUCACCUCUACACCGGGAAUUCCGCGACCCUCUUCCAUACUCAAGCCCGUCAGUUUCGGGUGCACUUCCUCGGUUGAGCCGAGGGCUUUCACAUCCGACUUAGCGGGCCGCCUACGUGCGCUUUACGCCCAAUGAUUCCGAGCAACGUUUGCACCCUCCGUAUUACCGCGGCGGCUGGCAC